AUGGAUCCAGAGCUGCACCCAGAGCUGCACCCAGAGCUGCACCCAGAGCUGCACCCAGAGCUGCACCAGGCUUCUGGGAAAGCUACUGUACCAUACUGUAACCAGGCUUCUGGGAAAGCUACUGUACCAUACUGUAACCAGGCUUCUGGGAAAGCUACUGUACCAUACUGUAACCAGGCUUCUGGGAAAGCUACUGUACCAUACUGUAACCAGGCUUCUGGGAAAGCUACUGUACCAUACUGUAACCAGGCUUCUAGGAAAGCUACUGUACCAUACUGUAACCAGGGUUCUGGGAAAGCUACUGUACCAUACUGUAACCAGGCUUCUGGGAAAGCUACUGUACCAGACUGUAACCAGGCUUCUGGGAAAGCUACUGUACCAUACUGUAACCAGGCUACUGGGAAAGCUACUGUACCAUACUGUAACCAGGCUUCUGGGAAAGAUGCUGUACCAUACUGUAACCAGGCUUCUGGGAAAGCUGCUGUACCAUACUGUAACCAGGCUUCUGGGAAAGCUACUGUACCAUACUGUAACCAGGCUUCUGGGAAAGCUACUGUACCAUACUGUAACCAGGCUUCUAGGAAAGCUACUGUACCAUACUGUAACCAGGCUUCUGGGAAAGCUACUGUACAAGACUGUAACCAGGCUUCUGGGAAAGCUACUGUACCAUACUGUAACCAGGCUUCUGGGAAAGCUACUAUACCAUACUGUAACCAGGCUUCUGGGAAAGCUACUGUACCAGACUGUAACCAGGCUUCUGGGAAAGCUACUGUACCAUACUGUAACCAGGCUUCUGGGAAAGCUGCUGUACCAUACUGUAACCAGGCUUCUGGGAAAGCUACUGUACCAUACUGUAACCAGGCUUCUGGGAAAGCUACUAUACCAUACUGUAACCAGGCUUCUGGGAAAGCUGCUGUACCAUACUGUAACCAGGCUUCUGGGAAAGCUACUGUACCAUACUGUAACCAGGCUUCUGGGAAAGCUGCUGUACCAUACUGUAACCAGGCUUCUGGGAAAGCUACUGUACCAGACUGUAACCAGGCUUCUGGGAAAGCUGCUGUACCAUACUGUAGAUCAGGCUUCUGGGAAAGCUGCUGUACCAUACUGUAA
rnacentral:lncRNA from 1 species